rnacentral:sRNA from 1 species
GGGCAGGCCAUACGGACGCCAAAAAGUGUCCUGGCCGCCUGCACCCACUAUACAUCCACAAACCCGUGUGCACUGUCUUGGAGAAAGGCUUCAGAGAAGUUUUUUGUGGCCAUCUCUUGGGGUCUUUCUUCGCUACAAACUCGAAUGGUUAGUAUGAACGUGGAACUUGGUUGGACCGUCACUGGCCAACAAACUAUACACAACUUUCGACAACGGAUCUCUUGGUUCUCCCAUCGAUGAAGAACGCAGCGAAACGCGAUAGGUAAUGUGAAUUGCAGAAUUCCGUGAAUCAUCGAAUCUUUGAACGCACCUUGCGCUCUAUGGCAAUCCGUAGAGCAUGCCUGUUUGAGUGCCAUGAAAUCUCCCACCCCAAGCGGUUUUUAAAUGAAACGGCUUGGCGGAUGGGGUCUGGAUGGGUGCCUCUGCCUGCGCUACCUAGCACAGGCUCGCCCGAAAUGCAUGAGCGCCUGAGACACUUUGCAUCCGCCUCUCUGUUUGGGAGGAGGCGACCAAGCAGUGUUUUUCUCCUGGCAUGGCAUGAUACGUCAUUUGCUAUGUCGCCUAAAGGAGGAAUGUUUGGUUGUGUCUGCGUGUGCUUCGAACUUGCCUCUGUGGCACAUCCCAAUUUCACUUCUGGUCUC